UACGUAGGGGGCAAGCGUUGUCCGGAAUCAUUGGGCGUAAAGCGCGUGUAGGCGGCUCGAUAAGUCCGUUCUGAAAGUCCAGGGCUCAACCCUGGGAUGCGGAUGGAUACUGUCGAGCUCGAGUCCGGAAGAGGCGAGUGGAAUUCCUGGUGUAGCGGUGAAAUGCGCAGAUAUCAGGAGGAACACCAAUUGCGAAGGCAGCUCGCUGGGACGUUACUGACGCUGAGACGCGAAAGCGUGGGGAGCAAACAGG
rnacentral:rRNA from 1 species